GAAGCCAAGUGUCACGACUCAUGCUAUCCGGAUAUUAAUCAAACGUUAAAUUGUUAAGAGUAAAGCCAACCGAAUUACUAUGCAAACAAGACAAUAAAUUGAUGAAUCAAACCGACACCAUAACAUACUAAGUAAAGUUUUACUAACAUUCGACCCCUACUUGCUGUCAUGAUUAGAAGGAAACAAAAUGAAAGAAGAUUACACUAACACAAAGAGCUAAGUGCACUCAAGACGGCAUUUGCUGCCAGUGACAAGCAAAAUGUACAGCAUGUCCAAUGUUGGACCAAAUGAGCUUGAAAAUAGCUCAAACCUUAGCUUAACUUGAAGU
rnacentral:lncRNA from 1 species